AUACCAGCACCCCGAGUGGUCGGGACGAUUAUUGGGCCUAAAGCAUCCGUAGCCGGUGUAGCAAGUCCUCCGUUAAAUCCACUUGCUCAACAAGUGGGCUGCGGAGGAUACUGCUACACUAGGGGGCGGGAGAGGCGAGGGGUAUUCCACGGGUAGGGGUAAAAUCCUCUGAUCCGUGGAGGACCACCAGUGGCGAAGGCGCCUCGCCAGAACGCGCCCGACGGUGAGGGAUGAAAGCUGGGGGAGCAAACCGGAUUAGAAACCCCUGGUAGUCC
rnacentral:rRNA from 1 species